GAUUGAAAAAGAAAAUAUUAUAAAGUUAUUAGUUAUUACAAACUAGGGAAGUGUCCCCGCUUUGCGGGGUUAGAUUUCAAUUCAACCGUUUGUUAUGAGAUCAAAUAAGGAGGCUCAAAAUAUCAGCACCCCAAUACAAUUAUACAACCACUAAUAAGGACACCAGCGCUCAAGCCAGAAAUAAAAGUUCAACAACUGAAAUUAUUCCAAAACAGCAAGAAACUUUCAACGGUAAAAUAGAUUGGUGAAUUGAAAGCACCUACAAAGAAUAUUUCCUUCUUCUUUAUUCUUCCCAGCUGCUUCGACUCUUUCAUGAGCAUCCAUCUCCCAUGGACCCUUUUCCUGCCAAAUGACCAGGUUACCCUUAUAUAAAUAUAUGGAAUCAACCUUAUGGUAAAGUAUGAAUGAUAAGUUGCCUUUUCAAAUUGGAUCAUUACGACUUCAGAAACAAAAUUUGAAAAUGGAUGGUUAUUCUAAAUGGUCAAAAGAAGAAUAGUAUUUUAAUCACUACAUAAAAUAGUUAAGUAGUUAAAAACCUAAAAUGAUAAAUAAGAGAGAAAAAGACAAAUCAUGCUAAUCCAGUUAUCCACUUCCCAAGAUUUUCACAGGUUUUACCUGUGAAAAUCAAAUUUUACUUGCGAAGAAAUUUAAAAAAAAAAAUCAUGUUUUUUAAAGUUUCGUGUUAGAAAUCUUGAAAAACCAUUUCCACAGCAAAAGAGCAACAGUUUAGUGGCUAAAUUGUUUAAAAAAAUAGCACAACAGGUAAACCGAUAUCAAAACCGCACAACAACAAUAAACGGGUUUAUUAUAUACUCAGCAGGGAAUAUUGGAUUAAUCACUACAGAAAACAGUUAUGAGGCUCAAUGGAUAAAAAAAAAUAAUAGUAUAGAAUAAAUCGAUAAGAAGAGUAAUUCACAAUAGGUAGAUUGACAAACGGUAAAAGUAAGCUGUGUUUUUUUUCCAUUUUGAAAUUAUAUCAAAAAACAAAUAGUCCAGAAAAUGGUCAAAAAACUAUAACGGUUUAAUCGUUACAGAAAAAAGAAGUUUCAAGUAACUAAAGCGAAAAAAAUAAUUGGCUAAACAAUCACUGUAGAAUGUUGUAAUAAGAAAAAGGUUGAAAGUACAAUGCUAUAAUUUGUAUAUUUUUCACAAUACCAUGCUUUAGUAACAAAAGCUAUAAAUGUACUGUGAAUUCAGUCACAGAGAUGAAUGAAAACAAAAUGACAUAAUGCACAAAUAAAAUAAAAGUACAUCGUAUUUAAUCAUUUGAAAGACAACUAACCUUAAAGAGUUGAACAGGGCUGCUACUACCAUCCCGCUGGUUCUAUAAAAGCUCCCAUUGCCAGGACAAAAUCCAACAUUCAACAUGCUAAAUAAGCACCCAUUCAUCAUGUCACAGACGCCAGCUCCAAUUUCACAGAGCCAAUUCAUGAACUAAAGAAAGGCAGAAAAUAUUAUAAGUUGACUGAUUAGAUGUAUUUCCACAUCACUUGUUAGUUAACAAAUUCUUCUUAAUAUAAAAUGGAAAAGAAGAAGUGCAAAAGACUACCUUUAACCUCAUCCAAAUAAUAAAUUCACAAACAUAAAUACCCAGGAUAAUAAACAAAACGAUCAAGUUAUCCAUAUUAAUAUAUGAAAAAAAAAUCCUAAAUUUGUGAAUGGAAUUUGAUAGAGGGAAUAAGAGAUACCUGCAUUUAACAAUGGCACAACCUUUAAUUUACCUCAUGGCAAUAAGAAAUUAAAAUCAAAUGGGAAAACUAUACUUUAAGAUGGAAAUAUAAUUAUGAGCCGUAAUGACCUUUAAUUAUGACACAGCUAUAACUUAAGUGACCCUCAGUUGUUGUGCAGGUGAUCGAAAAAUAGAACAUCUUUGGGUGGAUCUGAUACUUGAAACGGAGGCGGUGGAAGAUCCGGCUCACCAGAGACAAACAAAUCAAUCACAAAAUCUGAAAAAUAAGCAGCGGGAAUCAAAACAGGCGUCAAUCGGAAACGUAUAGUAAAACAAAAGUAGAAUUGAAGAAAAAACGAACCUGUAAAGCGCAAUCGGUAUCAGUCGAAUAAAUCGACCUCACCCUCUUCGUCGUCUCUCUCUCUCUCUCUUCGAUCGAACCGAUCAACCGGUGACCCUUUACGCCGCCACAAAGAAAUCCGGUGAAAAAAUCGCUCAUGCUUACAAUCAUAUCUACGAUCUAUCAAUUACUGGUUUGCGAUUUUUCACUGUUUAUGGACCUUCGGGUAGACCUGACAUGGCAUAUUUCUUUUUCACCAAAGUAGAUUUCUAUCUUUCAAUCGAAAGUAGAUUUCUAUCUUUGAAGGGCCUAAUCAUGGAACUAUUGCUAGGGAUUUCACCUACAUUGAUGGGUAAGAAUAUGAAGGGAUAAUUUGUUAGACGUCAAUGGGAGGCGGAGCAAAGAGAAGCGGUGGGGUGGGAAUGCUUGUGAGAAGCAACCGGAGGUUUCUGGAAAGAAUGAGAAACUGGAGAAGAAAAGAAGGAAACGAUCGGUGGACGAAAGAAAUCGAGGCGGUGAUGGAAANNNN
rnacentral:lncRNA from 1 species